rnacentral:sRNA from 1 species
AGCCCCAGUGGACUUUUGCUGCAGGCUCAUGGUUCCUGCAGGCAGAUUAGCCCUGUCCCUUUUCUUGCUACUGACAUCAGCUCCCCUCGUUUUGGUGCAGCCUGAACAGUGUCAACAGCAGUGACUCCCGGUCCAGCGGCUCCCACUCGCAUUCCCCCAGCUCACAUUACCGCUACCGCAGCUCCAACCUGGCCCAGCAGGCUCCUGUGAGGCUGUCCAGCGUGUCCUCCCACGACUCAGGAUUCAUAUCCCAGGAUGCCUUCCAGUCCAAGUCACCAUCCCCCAUGCCGCCAGAGGCCCCCAACCAGUUGUCUAACGGGUUUUCUCACUAUAGUUUAUCAAGUGAGUCCCACGUGGGGCCCACGGGUGCAGGCCUUUUCCCUCAUUGCCUGCCUGCCUCCCGCCUGCUCCCUCGGGUCACCUCUGUCCACCUUCCAGACUACGCUCAUUAUUACACCAUUGGGCCCGGCAUGUUCCCGUCAUCUCAGAUCCCUAGCUGGAAGGACUGGGCUAAGCCUGGGCCCUAUGACCAGCCUCUGGUGAACACCCUGCAGCGCCGCAAAGAGAAGCGAGAACCAGACCCCAACGGGGGAGGACCCACUACCGUCAGCGGCCCACCUGCAGCAGCUGAGGAGGCUCAGAGACCACGGAGCAUGACUGUAUCGGCUGCCACCAGGCCUGGUGAGGAGAUGGAGGCUUGUGAGGAGCUGGCCCUGGCCCUGUCUCGGGGCCUGCAGCUGGACACCCAGAGGAGCAGCCGGGACUCGCUUCAGUGCUCCAGCGGCUACAGCACCCAGACAACCACCCCCUGCUGCUCUGAGGACACCAUCCCUUCCCAAGUUUCAGAUUAUGAUUAUUUCUCUGUAAGUGGUGACCAGGAGGCAGAUCAGCAGGAGUUCGACAAGUCCUCCACCAUUCCAAGAAACAGCGACAUCAGCCAGUCCUACCGACGGAUGUUCCAAGCCAAGCGUCCAGCCUCAACUGCUGGCCUCCCCACCACCCUGGGACCUGCUAUGGUCACUCCAGGGGUUGCAACUAUCCGACGGACCCCUUCCACCAAGCCUUCUGUCCGCCGGGGAACCAUUGGAGCUGGUCCCAUCCCCAUCAAGACACCCGUGAUCCCUGUCAAGACCCCAACCGUCCCAGACCUCCCAGGGGUGUUGCCAGCCCCUCCAGAUGGGCCAGAAGAGCGGGGGGAGCACAGCCCUGAGUCGCCAUCUGUGGGUGAGGGCCCCCAAGGUGUCACCAGCAUGCCCUCCUCAAUGUGGAGCGGCCAAGCUUCCGUUAACCCUCCACUUCCAGGCCCGAAGCCCAGUAUCCCUGAGGAGCACAGACAGGCAAUUCCAGAAAGCGAAGCUGAAGACCAGGAACGGGAACCCCCAAGUGCCACUGUCUCCCCAGGCCAGAUUCCAGAGAGUGACCCUGCACACCUGAGCCCAAGGGAUACUCCACAAGGAGAAGACAUGCUGAACGCCAUCCGAAGGGGCGUGAAACUGAAGAAGACCACGACAAACGAUCGCUCGGCCCCUCGCUUCUCUUAGGCUCACAAGAAAUGCACCGGUGGGGAAUGAACUGUUUCAUUAAUAAAACCUAAUUUGUCUUGAUCCAUUCCAAUCUAUAAUAAAAGAUUUUGUAGGC